AGACGGAGGGCGCGAGCGUUGUUCGGAAUUACUGGGCGUAAAGCGCGCGCAGGCGGACGGUGCAAGUCAGGGGUGAAAUUCUGGGGCUCAACCCCGGAGCUGCUCUUGAUACUGCCUGUCUAGGGACCGGUAGGGGCCGGUGGAAUUCCCGGUGUAGCGGUGGAAUGCGUAGAGAUCGGGAAGAACACCCGUGGCGAAGGCGGCCGGCUGGGCCGGAUCCGACGCUGAGGCGCGAAAGCGUGGGGAGCAAACAGGAUUAGAUACCCUGGUAGUCCACGCCGUAAACGAUGGGUGCUAGAUGCCGGGGGGAGCGACCCUUUCGGUGUCGUAGCUAACGCGUUAAGCACCCCGCCUGGGGAGUACGGCCGCAAGGCUGAA
rnacentral:rRNA from 1 species